rnacentral:rRNA from 1 species
CCAGNCGUACGAUGAUACCCGUCUUGCUGGCCGGAUUAGUGGCGAACGGGUGAGUAACACGUGAGUAACCUGCCCUUGACUCUGGGAUAAGCCUGGGAAACUGGGUCUAAUACCGGAUAGGAACGUCCACCGCAUGGUGGUUGUUGGAAAGAUUUAUCGGUCAUGGAUGGACUCGCGGCCUAUCAGCUUGUUGGUGAGGUAAUGGCUCACCAAGGCGACGACGGGUAGCCGGCCUGAGAGGGUGACCGGCCACACUGGGACUGAGACACGGCCCAGACUCCUACGGGAGGCAGCAGUGGGGAAUAUUGCACAAUGGGCGAAAGCCUGAUGCAGCGACGCCGCGUGAGGGAUGACGGCCUUCGGGUUGUAAACCUCUUUCAGUAGGGAAGAAGCGAAAGUGACGGUACCUGCAGAAGAAGCACCGGCUAACUACGUGCCAGCAGCCGCGGUAAUACGUAGGUGCGAGCGUUAUCCGGAAUUAUUGGGCGUAAAGAGCUCGUAGCGGUUUGUCGCGUCUGUCGUGAAAGUCCGGGCUUAACCCCGAUCUGCGUGGGUACGGGCAGACUAAGUGCAGUAGGGACA